rnacentral:lncRNA from 1 species
UUAUUAUUCGAGGAAUUGUCAUAGUAAAUUGCUGGGUAAAUUACUGCCUUCAUCCGACUGCUACAGUCAGUUCGGUUACGACCGGCACCUACACCACAACCACUAACAAAAAAAACAACCACAACCAUACUGUAACCACUACCACAGUCACCUUUAACACCACUAAUACUAACGCUACUACUAUCACAAAUACUACAACUACAGACCAUCCAUCCAUCCGUGCACACACCCAAAUAAUCAACGCCAUCCUCAUCUGCAUCAUUAUUGUGUCUGCUAGCGCUGUCUUCAUCACCAUCAACACAAUCAUCAUCAUAUAAGCACCUGUUUUUUUUAACAAUGUCACCUAACUCUAACCGACCCCAUCCUCGUUCUUGUGGCACAAACCAGCAGCUGCGCGAACCACCACGGUCACUAAUUAUUGCAGGCACCACUCCCUACUAAAACUACCACUGCAACCACCACUACUACUACUACCAUCACUACGGGGGUAGUUAGCAUUAGGAAAUAAGCACUCCCGUUUCGCUUUUCGCGGACACCCCGAAAUAAAACCUCUUGUUUUAUAAAACCUCCCAUUAUCUUUCCUUGGAUGUAUUCCAAACGUGACCAUCCAAUUAUUUUUAAAAAGCUACAACUACUACAUCACUACUUCUACUGCAAUUCCCACUACUGCUUUUACUCAUACCACCACUAGCAAUAACACCAACACGAUUGCUAUGUUGAGCCUUCGUAACGCGGCCAAAUGUUGCAGAGUAGUAGUAGUAGUAGUAGUAGUAGUAGUAGUAGUAGUAGUAGUAGUAGUAGUUUAGUUAUUGUUUUGGUCAAUUGCAAUGAUCAAGAAUUAAAUGAAUCGUUAGAAACACGACCGCAAUAAACGUAACAGCACAAAUCUAUCACAACAGUAAAAUAUGGCAACUCUUGUUUGCGCAUGCGUGAUCACUCUUAUAAGACAAUCAUUUUCAAAUCACACCUAACAGUCUUUAAAAACUAUAAAAGCGCUGGAUAAUGCUGUGGUCUUUAGAUAAAACAAGAAAAAAAAAUGGGAUGUUACGGUUGGGGUGUUUGUCCUGCUCUAUGACACGUGACUGCUCGUAGCAGACACUGAUUUUCAAAUAAGACAGGUUAAUAACGUAGUUCUAGACACACCAGCCUUUCGAAACAAAAUUCGACAUAGUCUAUUGUCAGAGAUCUGCUCUAUGAUAGUGGUCACUCCGAGACAUAGUCAUUCUAAUAUCACAGCUUAGAGUCUUUAAAAACAGGGAAGGCGCCGGCUGAUGGCGUAGUCCUAGAUACACCAAGCCUUUAAAAAAACAAAAACAGGAUUUUCUAUGUCCAUAUGUCUAUGAAGAACUGACCAGGAGCUAAUCAACAACGAAGCCCCUCGUUUGUUAUUAUGACAACUUGGAUAAUGUAACUCUAGACAUAGCACGUGUGAUUAAAAUAAGGAAGACGGCAUGGUCGUGAAUGGAACGCCUUUGAUCAUAUGUCUGUUCGAUGCAGACCUGAGUUAAACAAUAGAAAGAACAAAUACCGCAACAACAACUACGGCCGUUACUACUACCACCAACAGUACUACUACAACUACUACAACUAAUUAUGACACAGACCCUCACUACUCUCUGCGCUGUCUAUUAAAUGUCUAUUAAAUGUCUAUUAAAAUAAAAUUUUUCUGAAUUAUUUCCCUUGCCUUUUUUCCCUUCACCAAUUUAAUCAGUCAGCUAAUGGUUGACCGCAUUACUAAGAGCAAUUCUUUUUUCAAUAUAAAUUAAUUAAUUGAUUAAUCAAUACAUCAAGUUUAAUCGGGUCCACUACCAUUUACCUACUACUUGGUGCUAUUAAGACCCCUACUUCUAUUACAUUAUUUUCUUGUUUUUAAAAACACAUCAAGACGAAAUCUAGCACCCUCUCAUCGCCAUUUUCAUUCUUCCUAAAUCAACGGUCUCAUAAACAAACACACACGCACACACACACACACACACACAUCAACCAUUUUCCCCAUGAUUCCCUAAACUAUUUGCUACACAACAACCAUUCAGCCAUGCUUUUUGUAUUUUUCGGGUUAUUUUUUGGUGGGGGGGGGGUCUAUCUUUCAACUUCACCCACCGUUCCUCUCUCUCUCACACACACACACAUUCACACACACACACACACUCACAACUUAGCACAUCACAACAAGCACAGCACACACAUACAUGCACACGCACAACAGAAACCACACACAACCUACAAUAACUAAACGCUCGUUUUUGGAACUUACCUCAAGCAGAACAUUCUAAAUCCCAGGUAAUUAUAAUCAUAAUAACAAGGAUGAAUACUUGCAACACACUGCAUCAUUUAAUAAUGACAUCGUGCUCCUCCUGCCAACACCAGCCACCACUAUCACCGAUCUAAGUUAUUGCAGUUAUCAUCAUCAUCAUCAUCAUCAUCACCAUGAAUAACAGUCAUCAUCAUCAUUAUUAUUAAGGUGGCGAGUUAACAGAUCGAUUUUGCCUUUCAUCCUUUCGGGGUCGAUAAAUCAAGUACCAGUUGAGUACUGGUGUCGAUGUAAUCGAUUGUCCACCGCCCUCAAAAUUUCAGGCAUUGUGCCUAUAGCAGAAAGGAUUAUUAUUAUUAUUAUUAUUAUUAUUAUUAUUAUUAUUAUUAUUAUUAUUAUUAUUAUUACGUGUUCUUCACUACGUAAUAGAGCACAACUUUCGUCUGUAUAAUAGCUGCGAAUUCAUAUAGAUCGACUACAGACAUCUAUGCGUCCAAAAGUUGGUCUCUGGUCCUUGUGUUUUCUGGACCUGAUACAUCAGAGAUUUUAAAGUUCUUAUUUUAAAAAAUCGUUAUUAUGAAUCAGGCAAAUCAGGAUCAAAUCUCAAUGAAACUGCUGCUUGGUCUUGCAUUUAAUUUGUCAAGUUAUAUUUACCAUUCUAUUGCAAGAAUUAAGACCAGUCAGUGGUACCAUAGUAAAAAAGCCCCCCUCUAACUUUUCUGGCUAAAUUUAAAAUUACAAAAGCCGAAAAAAACUUACGUCAUAAAUCACAAACGAGAUGACGUCAUGCUACACUAAGGCAGAUAACGUGGCACGCUAAGUCACGACAACUGCAAAAAGCUUCCCGAUGUUUAAAAUCCGUUUCUAUCGAGUUUUAUUCACCAAAUAUUUUGGACAAUGUCAGAUGUGGAACCAAUAGUCACAUCUUAACAAAUACACAACGACGACUGGAUAUGGACACGAAACACACACAUACACACGAAUAUGUCAGUGUUUGUGUAUGCAUAUAGUUGUGAGCGGAAAGGUCAGAAGUUCGAUACAUGGCGGUGCGUUGUGUCCUUCAGCAAGACAUGUUAUUUCAUGCUGAUCCAGUUCACCUGGCUGUCAUAAAUGAGUAGCACCUGUAAUUCAAAAGGCGCCAGUCUUGUCACAUUCUGUGUCAUGCCGAAUUUCAACGGAGAACUUCGUUAAGGGUACGCGUAUCUGCGGUGUGCUCAGCCACUUGUAUUUCAAUUUCACGAGCAGGCUGUUCUAUUGAUCGGAUCAACUGGAGAACUCGUUGUCGUAACUGACGGAGUGCCUGCCCUAAGAUCCUUCAAAGACCCUAUAACUAAGCCAUAAAAAUAUUCAAAAGAAAAUAUAACUUUGUCCAUUUAUGAUGUGGCAGUGCAGAUAUUUUCGACUUUCAGAUCUUCAACAAUCGUUAAAGCUUUUGGAAAAUGCUUUGUGGGAUUUGUUCCGAUUUUUCAAGUUCAAAUCCUGCCGAGGUCAACUUUAUUUUUUCAUCCUUCUGGAAUCGAUAAAUGAAAAUGCCAGUUAAACACUAAGUUAGCUGGUACCGAGUGACAGUCACUCCUUUAAAAAUUGCAGUAUUUUGCAUUCUGAGCUCAAAUCUCGCCGAGGUCAACUCUACUCGUCACCCUUUCGGGGUCGAUAAUAUAAAGUGCCGGCCAAAUACUGAGAUCGAUGUAAUCGACUAAACCGUUCGUUUCAAAUCUAGCUGUGUCCUAAUUAGAAACCAUGAGUAUUAUUGUUACGCAUUCAAAUUCCACCAUCCUUUCGGGGUCGAUAAAGUUGAACACUGUGGUCACUUACAUUGACUGGCCUCCUACCGCAAAAUUUUAGGCCUUGUGUUUAUAACAUAAAGUAUGAUGAUGAUGAUUAUCAUCAUCAUCAUCAUCAAGGCAGCGAGCUGGCAUAAUGGUUAGCACGUCGGGCGAAAUACUUAGGGGUAUUUCGUUUGCCACUUCGUUCUGAGUUCAAAUUCCGCCAAGGUCAAUUUUGCCUUACAUCUUUUGGGGGACAAUAAAAUAAUUACCAGUUGAAUACUGGGGUCAAUGUAAUCGACUAUCCCCUCCCCCAAAUUUCAGGUUUUGUGCCAAGAAUAGAAAGGAUUAUUAUUAUUACUAUUAAGGUGGCAAGCUGGCAGAAUCGUUUGCACGCUGGAUGAAAUGCUUAGCAGUGUUUCGCCCUUCGCUACGUUCUGAGUUCAAAUUCGGUCGAGGUUGAUUUUGCCUUUCAUUCUUUCGGGGUCGAUGAAAUAAGUACCAGUGAAACACUGGGGGUUGAUGUGAUCGACUAGUCCCCUCUCUCCAAAUUUCAGGCCUUGUGCCUCUAGUAGAAAGGAUUAUUAUUAUUAUCAUUUGAAUUUGUCCACAUCGUCAUUGUCAUCAAAUUAAACCAUCAUCAUUAACAUCAGCAUCGUUACAAAUAUCAUCAUAGAAAGUUCUUCCAACACAGCAAAAAGCAGCAGCACCACCACCGCCCCCAACGGCACCCGCACCACCAACAUUAUCAACACCAAAACAGAAAAACAACCAUCACCAUUAUCACAUGUAUCCUCCCACGACAACAAUCACGACCAUCACCACCAACAACGACAACAACAACGAUAUAAUGUAUGCAGCAUGCCACACCCCACAACCCUUGCUUCUGCAUUAUUUAUUUGCACGAAACGUUUGUUCGCUUAUGUUGCUGAAAAUCAAAGAAUAAACAGAGUUUGUUGGAUAACGUCCUUGCUGCUCUUCUA